UACAGAGGGUGCAAGCGUUGUUCGGAAUCAUUGGGCGUAAAGGGCGUGUAGGCGGUUUGCUAAGUCAUGUGUGAAAGCCCUGGGCUCAACCUGGGAAUUGCGAUGGAUACUGGCGAGCUAGAGUACGGUAGAGGAUGGUGGAAUUCCCGGUGUAGCGGUGAAAUGCGUAGAGAUCGGGAGGAACACCCGUGGCGAAGGCGGCCAUCUGGACCAGUACUGACGCUGAGGCACGAAAGCGUGGGGAGCAAACAGG
rnacentral:rRNA from 1 species